CCUACGGGAGGCAGCAGUGGGGAAUAUUGCGCAAUGGGCGAAAGCCUGACGCAGCGACGCCGCGUGAGGGAUGAAGGUCUUCGGAUCGUAAACCUCUGUCAGCAGGGAAGAACGGUCACUGUGCUAAUCAGCAGUGAAUUGACGGUACCUGCAAAGGAAGCACCGGCUAACUCCGUGCCAGCAGCCGCGGUAAUACGGAGGGUGCGAGCGUUAAUCGGAAUUACUGGGCGUAAAGCGCUCGUAGGCGGUAUGUCAAGUCAAGGGUGAAAUCCCCGCGCUCAACGUGGGAACUGCCUUUGAAACUGGCAAACUGGAGUGUGGGAGAGGAUAGUGGAAUUCCAGGUGUAGGGGUGAAAUGCGUAGAUAUCUGGAGGAACAUCAGUGGCGAAGGCGACUAUCUGGCACAUAACUGACGCUGAGGAGCGAAAGCGUGGGUAGCAAACAGGAUUAGAUACCCCAGUAGUC
rnacentral:rRNA from 1 species